GAUGAACGCUGGCGGCGUGCCUAAUACAUGCAAGUCGAGCGAACAGACGAGGAGCUUGCUCCUCUGACGUUAGCGGCGGACGGGUGAGUAACACGUGGAUAACCUACCUAUAAGACUGGGAUAACUUCGGGAAACCGGAGCUAAUACCGGAUAAUCUAUUGAACCGCAUGGUUCAAUAGUGAAAGACGGUUUUGCUGUCACUUAUAGAUGGAUCCGCGCCGCAUUAGCUAGUUGGUAAGGUAACGGCUUACCAAGGCAACGAUGCGUAGCCGACCUGAGAGGGUGAUCGGCCACACUGGAACGGAGACACGGUCCAGACUCCUACGGGAGGCAGCAGUAGGGAAUCUUCCGCAAUGGGCGAAAGCCUGACGGAGCAACGCCGCGUGAGUGAUGAAGGUCUUCGGAUCGUAAAACUCUGUUAUUAGGGAAGAACAAAUGUGUAAGUAACUAUGCACGUCUUGACGGUACCUAAUCAGAAAGCCACGGCUAACUACGUG
rnacentral:rRNA from 1 species